GGGCCCGUAGCUCAGGGGUACUUUACUCAAGAACAUCUUGCGUGAAGCUCAUAAGAGCGCCUGCCUUGCAAGCAGGAGGCCUCGGGUUCAAAUCCCGACGGGUCCA
rnacentral:tRNA from 1 species